rnacentral:rRNA from 1 species
GACGAACGCUGGCGGCGUGCUUAACACAUGCAAGUCGAACGGGUCUGCCCUGUUUUUUGCGGGGUGGGUCAGUGGCGAACGGGUGAGUAACACGUGAGUAACCUGCCCCUCACUUCUGGAUAACCGCUUGAAAGGGUGGCUAAUACGGGGUGUUCUGGCUGUGCCGCAUGGUGUGGCUGGGAAAGAUUCACUUUUGUGGUGUUUUCGUGGGGGAUGGGCUCGCGGCCUAUCAGCUUGUUGGUGGGGUGAUGGCCUGCCAAGGCUUUGACGGGUAGCCGGCCUGAGAGGGUGGGCGGUCACACUGGGACUGAGAUACGGCCCAGACUCCUGCGGGAGGCAGCAGUGGGGGGUAUUGCACAAUGGGCGGAAGCCUGAUGCAGCGACGUCGCGUGAGGGAUGGAGGCCUUCGGGUUGUGAACCUCUUUCGCCGGUGAAGAAGGUCCUGCUCUUUGUGGUGGGGUUGACGGUAGCCGGGUUAUGAAGCGCCGGCUAACUACGUG